rnacentral:rRNA from 1 species
GACGAACGCUGGCGGCGUGGAUUAGGCAUGCAAGUCGAACGGUAGUAUCCUUUCGGGGAUAUGAGAGUGGCGAACGGGUGAGUAACACGUAGGUAAUCUACCCUCAAAUCGGGGACAACCCAGGGAAACUUGGGCUAAUACCGGAUGAGUGCAGCACCUUGAUUUUCCGGUGGGCGGUGAAUGGUUAAAUCUAUUUACCUGACAUUGGGAAAUGAAGGUGCUGUAUAAAAGAUGGCGUAAGCUGUCGUUUGAGGAUGAGCCUGCGCUCUAUUAGUUAGUUGGUGGGGUAAUGGCCUACCAAGGCGAUGAUAGAUAGGCGGCCUUAACGGGUGGCCGCCCACACUGGGAUUGAGAUACGGCCCAGACUCCUACGGGAGGCAGCAGUCGAGAAUAGUCUACAAUGGACGAAAGUCUGAUAGUGCGACGCCGCGUGAACGAAGAAUCCCUUCGGGUGUAAAGUUCUUUUAUAUGUGAGCAAUGCUUUUUAUGUGAAUAGCAUGAGAAG